GACAGUGUAACAAGGUUUCCGUAGGUGAACCUGCGGAAGGAUCAUUACCUAGAGUUGUAGGCUUUGCCUGCUAUCUCUUACCCAUGUCUUUUGAGUACCUUCGUUUCCUCGGCGGGUCCGCCCGCCGAUUGGACACAUUUAAACCCUUUGUAGUUGCAAUCAGCGUCUGAAAAACUUUAAUAGUUACAACUUUCAACAACGGAUCUCUUGGUUCUGGCAUCGAUGAAGAACGCAGCGAAAUGCGAUAAGUAGUGUGAAUUGCAGAAUUCAGUGAAUCAUCGAAUCUUUGAACGCACAUUGCGCCCCUUGGUAUUCCAUGGGGCAUGCCUGUUCGAGCGUCAUUUGUACUCUUCAAGCUUUUGCUUGGUGUUGGUGUGUUUGUCUCGCCUCUGCGCGCAGACUCGCCUCAAAACAAUUGGCAGCCGGCGUAUUGAUUUCGGAGCGCAGUACAUCUCGCGCUUUGCACUCAUAACGACGACUGUCCAAAAAGUACAUUUUUUACACUCUUGACCUCUUAUCUAACAAAUUAAUAAUUACAACUUUCAA
rnacentral:rRNA from 1 species